AUGCUCGCUUCAGCAGCACAUAUACUAAAAUUGGAAUGAUACAGAGAAGAUUAGCAUGGCCCCUGCACAAGGAUGAAACACAAUUUGUGAAGCGUUCCAUAUUUUU
rnacentral:snRNA from 1 species